rnacentral:rRNA from 1 species
CCUCCUACGGGACGCAGCAGUGGGGAAUAUUGGGCAAUGGGCGCAAGCCUGACCCAGCAACGCCGCGUGAAGGAAGAAGGCUUUCGGGUUGUAAACUUCUUUUGACAGGGAAGAGCAGAAGACGGUACCUGUCGAACAAGCCACGGCUAACUACGUGCCAGCAGCCGCGGUAAUACGUAGGUGGCAAGCGUUGUCCGGAUUUACUGGGUGUAAAGGGCGUGUAGCCGGGCUUACAAGUCAGAUGUGAAAUCCGGGGGCUCAACCCCCGAACUGCAUUUGAAACUGUAUAUCUAGAGUGUCGGAGG